GCGGGUGUAGCUCAGUGGUAGAGCGUCAGCUUCCCAAGCUGAAAGUCGAGGGUUCGAUCCCCUGCACCCGCU
rnacentral:tRNA from 1 species